rnacentral:ncRNA from 2 species
CGACCAUCCAGAGCGACCGAGAGACCCGGCUCGACGACGUCGCAGCAACCCCCUGUGGGCAGGUGAGGGUGCUACUGCCGGGAACGAUGGAGG